rnacentral:rRNA from 1 species
CAGCCGCCACGGGAAUACGUAGGUGGCAAGCGUUAUCCGGAAUUAUUGGGCGUAAAGCGCGCGUAGGCGGUUUUUUAAGUCUGAUGUGAAAGCCCACGGCUCAACCGUGGAGGGUCAUUGGAAACUGGAAAACUUGAGUGCAGAAGAGGAAAGUGGAAUUCCAUGUGUAGCGGUGAAAUGCGCAGAGAUGUGGAGGAACACCAGUGGCGAAGGCGACUCUCUGGUCUGUAACUGACGCUGAGGAGCGAAAGCGUGGGGAGCGAACAGGAUUAGAUACCCGAGUAGUCCCUGUCUCUUAUAC